GCCGUCGUGGGACAAUGGUACUCCGCCUGCCUUGAGAGCAGGUUGCCUCCGGGCUUUCCCGGUUCGAUUCCGGGCGACGGCG
rnacentral:tRNA from 1 species